UUCUUGUCAUAAAAUGUUGCGCUAGUCCAAGAGCUUUAAGAUGCUUACCACCCUUCACAUCGGCGUGCCAAAUUCGAUCCCGUCGAUUGCUAGCGAAAUGAAGGAGCUCAAGCUGACGAGAGCGAUCGCACUUCCUCAGCAUCUGGAAAGCGUCACCGAUAAAUGCAAUAUUGUGUCUGGUCAUACGGGGAGUCCGUUACUAGCUCAAGAAAACCAUUUCGUCAACAGAAGACAACACUACGAUUCAAUCGCAAGCUUAAACAACGCAGGUAUUCAAUUUGCCGAGUCCUCUAGGAUGAGUGCCGCAUUACAGUGCUUCCG
rnacentral:pre_miRNA from 1 species